GCCGACCGUUCCGCAGAGCCCGCCUCCUGCCAGGGUGGUGCUGGGCCGUGCCCGGGCUGCUGCCGCUGGCGCUCGGAACCAGCGUGUCAGGCGUUGCCCGGGCAGCUAUGACGGUGCGACGGGGUCCUGGCAGAGGAAUCGUUUCCAUGGGGACGCGUGUAAACAGCGGGUGCGCGGCCAUGGGGGCGGGCCGUUCUCUGCCGAGCAGGACUGCUCCUGAAUCUUCCUCAGAGACUCCAGAUUGCCAGACGUGCACCAACAGUAGGAUAUACAUCCUGUCUGAGGAACAGAAGAACCCACCCUACAGAGAGGUCUUUGAAUUCUUCAUAGACAGCUUCAAGACCUAUAAGCCCUUGCUGUUCGCUAUAAGGAAUGAAUACGAAGUUACUUUGGGUAAGCUUCCUCAAUAUAAAAAGGACAUGGAACUGUUGGAACAAGACCAGAGGAGGGC
rnacentral:lncRNA from 1 species